GACGAACGCUGGCGGCGUGCUUAAAACAUGCAAGGCGAACGGAGUGGCGAACGGGUGAGUAACACGUGGGUGAAAUGCCCUGCAAUUCGGGAUAAGCCCGGGAAACUGGGUCUAAUCCCGGAUAGUGUGGGAUGGGCGCGCGGCCUAUCAGCUUGUUGGUGGGGUAAUGGACUACCAAGGCGGAGCAGGGUAGCCGGCCUGAGAGGGUGGACGGACACAUUGGGACUGAGACACGGCCCAGACUCCUACGGGAGGCAGCAGUGGGGAAUAUUGCACAAUGGGCGGAAGCCUGAUGCAGCGACGCCGCGUGGGGGAUGACGGCCUUCUGGUUGUAAACUCCUUUCACCAUCGACGCGGUAGAUGGAGAAGAAGCACCGGCUAACUACGGGCCAGCAGCCGCGGUAAUAC
rnacentral:rRNA from 1 species